GCGGUUCCGGUUCACGUCGAGGCUCCCCGGCCCGACGACCCGGCGGCC
rnacentral:ncRNA from 1 species